rnacentral:rRNA from 1 species
UACGGAGGGAGCUAGCGUUAUUCGGAAUUACUGGGCGUAAAGCGCACGUAGGCGGCUUUGUAAGUUAGAGGUGAAAGCCCGGGGCUCAACUCCGGAACUGCCUUUAAGACUGCAUCGCUUGAAUCCAGGAGAGGUGAGUGGAAUUCCGAGUGUAGAGGUGAAAUUCGUAGAUAUUCGGAAGAACACCAGUGGCGAAGGCGGCUCACUGGACUGGUAUUGACGCUGAGGUGGCGAAAGCGUGGGGAGCAAACAGG